ensembl:lncRNA
GUCCCGCCUUCACCACAGCUCUCAGAGCAUGAAACACCUGGGAAGGAGCGGGGAGAGUCAAUAAUUGAGGGCAGCGUAUGCUCAGGGCAAAGUGCAGUCACUGUUGGCAUAGACAGGAUUUGUCUUUUUUUUUCCUUUCUUUUUUUCCUUAACCUAAGCACCGCCUCUGGAUACCUUGGAGACACAAACAGGUGGAUUGGAAGUACUGGCUCCUGCUCUGUUCAUGAAAAGAAUGUAAUGGAAAGAAUAUGUGUAAAGGAUAAUGCUGCUGAGCUGAACCUCGUGCCAGUAUUUGUGUGACUGUGUGAUACUGUGGGACUUCAGUCUCACUGCUGCAUUUCAGACCAGGGCACAGUUAGCUAAGCAGAGUGACCUGAUUCAUGCUGGAUCAACAUGUUAUCAACUUGAGGUUGUCACUACAAAGUAAGUGUGGUGAAGUCUGCCUGUUCCAACUAAAAUCAAAGCCAUCUCCUGACAUACGGUAGUGCUGAAGUCAGCGGUUUCUACGAAGUGGGUCUAAAUGCAGAUUGAAGGAUCUCUUCGGUGUAUAAGUGUAACUACCAAUGCCAAC